rnacentral:tRNA from 1 species
GGUGAGGUGUCCGAGUGGCUGAAGGAGCACGCCUGGAAAGUGUGUAUAUGGCAACGUAUCGAGGGUUCGAAUCCCUCCCUCACCGCCA